GAUGAACGCUAGCGGCAGGCUUAACACAUGCAAGUCGAGGGGUAGAGUUAGCUUGCUAACUUGAGACCGGCGCACGGGUGCGUAACGCGUAUGCAACCUACCUUGUACAGAGGGAUAGCCCAGAGAAAUUUGGAUUAAUACCUCAUAGUAUUAUUGAAUGGCAUCAUUUGAUUAUUAAAGUUCCAACGGUACAAGAUGAGCAUGCGUCCCAUUAGCUAGAUGGUAAGGUAACGGCUUACCAUGGCAACGAUGGGUAGGGGUCCUGAGAGGGCGAUCCCCCACACUGGUACUGAGACACGGACCAGACUCCUACGGGAGGCAGCAGUGAGGAAUAUUGGUAAAUGGGCGCAAGCCUGAACCAGCCAUGCCGCGUGCAGGAAGACGGUCCUAUGGAUUGUAAACUGCUUUUAUACGGGAAGAAACCCUGCUACGUGUAGCAGCUUGACGGUACCGUAAGAAUAAGCAUCGGCUAACUCCGUGCCAGCCGCCGCCGUAA
rnacentral:rRNA from 1 species